rnacentral:rRNA from 1 species
AACGAACGCUGGCGGCAGGCUUAACACAUGCAAGUCGAACGCAUUGCAAGAUGAGUGGCAGACGGGUGAGUAACGCGUGGGAACAUACCCUUUUCUACGGAAUAGCUCUGGGAAACUGGAAUUAAUACCGUAUACGCCCUACGGGGGAAAGAUUUAUCGGGGAAGGAUUGGCCCGCGUUGGAUUAGCUAGUUGGUGGGGUAAAGGCCUACCAAGGCGACGAUCCAUAGCUGGUCUGAGAGGAUGAUCAGCCACAUUGGGACUGAGACACGGCCCAAACUCCUACGGGAGGCAGCAGUGGGGAAUAUUGGACAAUGGGCGCAAGCCUGAUCCAGCCAUGCCGCGUGAGUGAUGAAGGCCUUAGGGUUGUAAAGCUCUUUCACCGAUGAAGAUAAUGACGGUAGUCGGAGAAGAAGCCCCGGCUAACUUCGUGCCAGCCGCCGCCGUAAUAC